GUCCGAGCACCUUUUCAGAAGAAUACGUGCUUGGAAGUCCUGCAGCCUCAAUAACAAGAGGGUCACACAGCAGACAGGCGAUGGUUUGGAUACUGAAUAUGACGUAUCUCCUCACAGAAUCCUUCAGCUCGCCAAGCAUAAAGAGUGCAAAGCGGUAUGGAUCACCACUCCAUGGGAACUGACGUGGGGGAACCAGGAGCCCAUAUGGCCGCUGUCACCCGCUGCUCUCUCUGCUGUUCCCACACCGAGAAUCCAGAGUCUGGCGGAGCCCAAACGAGACGUGUCUUUGAGCACCGACCCCCCCAGGAAUGCCGAGGACGGGGAACACCCCGCACGAGGUUCACGCACCACUUCCACGGCCGCGCGGUACGAGCAGCUCGCGCGACUGGCCACCCCCAAGAACAGGCCCCACGACUGCCAGGAACCUGGGUACGAGACAAGGAGGACACCGUUACGACAGCGAGGCGUGGCCUCGAAAAGCAGUAGGGGGUCCCGCGAGGCGGGAAGCGAGCAGAUCAGCUCCUGACGCGGGAGUAAAGACUUGUGUGAGCGACUACACAAUAGAGCCCAUUGUCUGAGCUCGAGGCUCCGGGGACGUUUUCUGACCGAAGCGGAAAUCUUUUUAUAAACCCAAAAUCAUGUUUUCUUCUGCUCAUACAUAUUUGAGGUCAAGACUCGCAGAAAGAGGAGUUAGACAAUGGGGUGAUGUUUUUUUGGUCGCACCGGGUGGCUCUGCGGUCGAGCCCUUUGUUUCCCCUUCAGCAAGUGCUCAGAUGUGUUCCAACCUGCAGGCGGCUGCUCGCGACGUGGGGCCGACGGGACCGUAGCACCGCGGUAAAGGUUACGGGGGUCUUGCCACGCCUCCUCCAGCUUGCCAGCCCCAAAAAGCUGCACCCUAAUUUCAGGGGCGACCGGGAGGUGAGUGGGGCGCAGCCUGAGUCUGGAUCAAAGUACCAGACAAAUAACUGGUAGGAACUCGGCUCAUAAUUACGCAAAUGGGACAUGAGUGCUGGGCGUAGCAGUGCCAGAAACAAAGAGGUUCUGAGCAGAACAUUCAUACGACGGGUGUGUCGCACAAACCAUGCAUUAGUGGCAUUUUUCUUAUAAGCUGAGUUUCUAGAAACUUCUGCCUCAAGCUCUGACUCUUGAAGCUUCCGAAGUACAUUACCUUGAACUCAAAAUGAAUCAUCUUCCCGCUUCUGGUUGACAUGUCGUUCUCAUCCCGUCUUCACCCAUGUCCCCAGCCAGGGGAAACGCUCGUCCCUUUCUCCACGAGCGGAGCGCAGAUCACACCCAGGCUGGACCACCUGUCCCUGCCCAAGACCAGGGCAGGUGGCCUGUUCUUUGAGCUGGGACGACCAGAGGAGCCCAUCAGGCCAGUAAGUUCUUUAUUAAGGCCCCUCUAUGGUCUUUACGUUCAUCGCGUUCAAUUCUGGCCAUCGCCAUGGUUUCGUGCGACAUGGUUGAGGAUCAUGUGUUCAUCCAGUUCGACUUAGUUCGUGCUAUUCAUAUGUAAAAAUUUCAAGCAUUUGAUCCCUGUUACAAGUUAAAGGAAAUAAAGACAUGAUAAGGAAGUUACA
ensembl:lncRNA